rnacentral:misc_RNA from 1 species
UUGAAAAAUUAAGAAAGUUGUUAUCGAGACUAGUGGUAAAUCUCUAACAAAUUUGUGCCAAAAAUUGGGGACAUGGGGGGGGGGGGAAGAAGGAGAUUUACAAACUAGCAUGGCUAAAGAAAAAUAGGGCUGGAGAUCUAAAUCAAGUCAAAUGUAUUGAAGUUAAAGAGGCCAUGAAGAAUAUGAAGAUAGGGAGAGCAUAUAGCCAUAUGGUAUCUCUAUUGAAGUGUGGAAGUGUCUUGGGGAGGUUGGAGUAACUUGGCUAACUAAGCUAUUCAAUGGCAUACUAAAAUUUGAAAAUAUGCCAAAUGAGUCGAGAAAGAGCAAUUUGAUUUCUAUCUUUAAGACCAAAGGAGACGUCCAAAGUUGUACAAACUACCGGAAUAUUAAACCGAUGAGUUACAUGAUGAAACUAUAGGAAAGAGAGAUUGAAUGCAAACCUAGGGACACUACUGAGGUAUCAGAGAACCGGUUGACUUUAUGUUUGAUAUAUCUACAAUCGAUCUAAUGUUUUUGUUAAGAAGAUUAAUGAAAAUUUAUAGGGAGAGAAAUAAGGAUCUUCGCAUAUAUUCAUUGACCUAAAAAUGGCAUAUGAUAGAAUACCAAGAGAUGUUCUUUGGUGAGUGCUAGAGAAGAAAGGAAUCAAUAUGAUAGAAUACUAAGAGAAGUUCUUUGGUGGGUGCUAGAGAAGAGAAGAGAAGAGUCUAUCUCAUACAUAUAAAUGUCAUUAAGAACAUGUAUGAAGGGGCAGUCACAAGUGUAAUAAUAGUGGGAGAGGAUGUGGACAAGCUUCCUAUACCAGUGGGUUUACAUCAAGGAUCAACUCUGAGUCUGUACUUGUUUAUCUUAGCUAGGGAUGAGCUAAUCAGUCUUACUUAAGAUGAUGUCCCAUGAUGCAUAUUAUUUGUAGAUGAUAUUGUUUUAGUUGAUGAAGCUGGUGAAGAAGUUAGCUAAAAGUUGGAGCUGUGAAGAACUAUUGAAAGUAAGGGUUUUAGGCUGAGUAGAAGUAAGAUGAAAUUCGUGCAUUGCUAGUUUAGCUUUUGUAGAAGGUAUGCGGGAGGUUCAAUUGGAUGUAGUUUCGUUGCCAAAAUGCAAUCAAUUCAAGUAUUGAAGUUUUAUAUUCUAAGAGAACAGAGUAAUAGAUAAGAAUGUAAUUCAUAGAAUCAAAACAAGAGGGAUUGGAAUGGAAUGUGACUGUUGGAUCCUUGACAAAGUGAAA